GACGAACGCUGGCGGCGUGCUUAACACAUGCAAGUCGAACGGAAAGGCCCUGCUUUUGUGGGGUGCUCGAGUGGCGAACGGGUGAGUAACACGUGAGUAACCUGCCCUUGACUUUGGGAUAACUUCAGGAAACUGGGGCUAAUACCGGAUAGGAGCUCCUGCUGCAUGGUGGGGGUUGGAAAGUUUCGGCGGUUGGGGAUGGACUCGCGGCUUAUCAGCUUGUUGGUGGGGUAGUGGCUUACCAAGGCUUUGACGGGUAGCCGGCCUGAGAGGGUGACCGGCCACCUUGGGACUGAGAUGCGGCCCAGACUCCUACGGGAGGCAGCAGUGGGGAAUAUUGCACAAUGGGCGGAAGCCUGAUGCAGCAACGCCGCGUGCGGGAUGACGGCCUUCGGGUUGUAAACCGCUUUCGCCUGUGACGAAGCGUGAGUGACGGUAAUGGGUAAAGAAGCACCGGCUAACUACGUG
rnacentral:rRNA from 1 species